rnacentral:rRNA from 1 species
UACGUAGGGGGCUAGCGUUGUCCGGAUUUAUUGGGCGUAAAGAGCGUGUAGGCGGCCAUGUAGGUCCGGUGUGAAAACUCGAGGCUUAACCUCGAGAUGUCAUCGGAAACCAUUUGGCUAGAGUCCGGAAGAGGAGAGUGGAAUUCCUGGUGUAGCGGUGAAAUGCGCAGAUAUCAGGAAGAACACCCGUGGCGAAGGCGGCUCUCUGGGACGGUACUGACGCUGAGACGCGAAAGCGUGGGGAGCGAACAGG